UGGGGAAUUUUGGACAAUGGGCGAAAGCCUGAUCCAGCAAUGCCGCGUGUGUGAAGAAGGCCUUCGGGUUGUAAAGCACUUUUGUCCGGAAAGAAAUCCUUGGCUCUAAUACAGUCGGGGGAUGACGGUACCGGAAGAAUAAGCACCGGCUAACUACGUGCCAGCAGCCGCGGUAAUACGUAGGGUGCAAGCGUUAAUCGGAAUUACUGGGCGUAAAGCGUGCGCAGGCGGUUUGCUAAGACCGAUGUGAAAUCCCCGGGCUCAACCUGGGAACUGCAUUGGUGACUGGCAGGCUAGAGUACGGCAGAGGGGGGUAGAAUUCCACGUGUAGCAAGUGAAAAUGCGUAGAGAUGUGGAGGAAUACCGAUGGCGAAGGCAGCCCCCUGGGCCAAAUACUGACGCUCAUGCACGAAAAGCGUGGGGGAGCAAAACAAGGAUUAGAUACCCCUGGUAGUCCACGCCCUAAAACGAUGUCAACUAGUUGUUGGGGAUUCAUUUCCUUAGUAACGUAGCUAAACGCGUGAAGUUGACCGCCUGGGGAGUACGGUCGCAAGAUUAAAAACUUAAAUGAAUUGACGGGGGUCAUAGCUGUUUCCU
rnacentral:rRNA from 1 species